GAUGAAGAACGUAGCGAAAUGCGAUAAGUAGUGUGAAUUGCAGAAUUCAGUGAAUCAUCGAAUCUUUGAACGCACAUUGCGCCCCUUGGUAUUCCAUGGGGCAUGCCUGUUCGAGCGUCAUUUACACCCUCAAGCUCUGCUUGGUGUUGGGCGUCUGUCCCGCUGCUUUGCGCGGACUCGCCUCAAAGGUAUUGGCAGCGAUCAUGCCAGCUUCUCGCGCAGCACAUUGCGCUUCUUGAAGUUCUGGUGGAUCAGCGUCCAUUAAGCCCACUUCCACAGUUUGACCUCGGAUCAGGUAGGGAUACCCGCUGAACUUAAGCAUAUCAAUAAGCGGAGGA
rnacentral:misc_RNA from 1 species